GACGAACGCUGGCGGCGUGCUUAACACAUGCAAGUCGAGCGGAAAGGCCACUUCGGUGGUACUCGAGCGGCGAACGGGUGAGUAACACGUGAGUAAUCUGCCCUUGGCUUUGGUAUAGCCACCGGAAACGGUGAUUAAUACCGGAUACGACCACUCCAGGCAUCUGGUGGUGGUGGAAAGUUUUUCGGCCAGGGAUGUGCUCGCGGCCUAUCAGCUUGAUGGUGAGGUAAUGGCUCACCAUGGCUUCGACGGGUAGCCGGCCUGAGAGGGUGACCGGUCACACUGGGACUGAGACACGGCCCAGACUCCUACGGGAGGCAGCAGUGGGGAAUAUUGGACAAUGGGCGGAAGCCUGAUCCAGCAACGCCGCGUGAGGGAUGACGGCCUUCGGGUUGUAAACCUCUUUCGGUAGGGACGAAGCGCAAGUGACGGUACCUACUAAAGAAGCACCGGCCAACUACGUG
rnacentral:rRNA from 1 species